rnacentral:rRNA from 1 species
UACAGAGGUCUCAAGCGUUUGUUCGGAUUCAUUGGGCGUAAAGGGUGCGUAGGCGGCGCGGUAAGUCGGGUGUGAAAUCUCGGAGCUUAACUCCGAAACUGCAUUCGAUACUGCCGUGCUUGAGGACUGGAGAGGAGACUGGAAUUUACGGUGUAGCGGUGAAAUGCGUAGAUAUCGUAAGGAAGACCAGUGGCGAAGGCGGGUCUCUGGACAGUUCCUGACG